GUCUUCGUGGCGCAAUUGGCUAGCGCGUUGGGCUGUUAACCAAAAGGUUGGAGGUUCGAACCCUCCCGGGAGCA
rnacentral:tRNA from 1 species